rnacentral:rRNA from 1 species
UCCUGAAACCGUGUGCCUACAAAUAGUCAGAGCCCGUUAAUGGGUGAUGGCGUGCCUUUUGUAGAAUGAACCGGCGAGGUACGAUCCCGUGCGAGGUUAAGCUGAAGAGGCGGAGCCGCAGCGAAAGCGAGUCUGAAUAGGGCGUUUAGUACGUGGUCGUAGACCCGAAACCAGGUGAUCUACCCAUGUCCAGGGUGAAGUUCAGGUAACACUGAAUGGAGGCCCGAACCCACGCACGUUGAAAAGUGCGGGGAUGAGGUGUGGGUAGCGGAGAAAUUCCAAUCGAACCUGGAGAUAGCUGGUUCUCCCCGAAAUAGCUUUAGGGCUAGCCUUAAGUGUAAGAGUCUUGGAGGUAGAGCACUGAUUGGACUAGGGGUCCUCAUCGGAUUACCGAAUUCAGUCAAACUCCGAAUGCCAAUGACUUAUCCUUAGGAGUCAGACUGCGAGUGAUAAGAUCCGUAGUCAAAAGGGAAACAGCCCAGACCGCCAGCUAAGGUCCCAAAGUGUGUAUUAAGUGGAAAAGGAUGUGGAGUUGCUUAGACAACUAGGAUGUUGGCUUAGAAGCAGCCACCAUUUAAAGAGUGCGUAAUAGCUCACUAGUCGAGUGACUCUGCGCCGAAAAUGUACCGGGGCUAAAUACACCACCGAAGCUGCGGAUUGAUACCAAUGGUAUCAGUGGUAGGGGAGCGUUCUAAGGACAGUGAAGUCAGACCGGAAAGGACUGGUGGAGUGCUUAGAAGUGAGAAUGCCGGUAUGAGUAGCGAAAGACGGGUGAGAAUCCCGUCCACCGAAUGCCUAAGGUUUCCUGAGGAAGGCUCGUCCGCUCAGGGUUAGUCAGGACCUAAGCCGAGGCCGACAGGCGUAGGCGAUGGACAACAGGUUGAUAUUCCUGUACCACCUCUUUAUCGUUUGAGCAAUGGAGGGACGCAGAAGGAUAGAAGAAGCGUGCGAUUGGUUGUGCACGUCCAAGCAGUUAGGCUGAUAAGUAGGCAAAUCCGCUUAUCGUGAAGGCUGAGCUGUGAUGGGGAAGCUCCUUAUGGAGCGAAGUCUUUGAUUCCCCGCUGCCAAGAAAAGCUUCUAGCGAGAUAAAAGGUGCCUGUACCGCAAACCGACACAGGUAGGCGAGGAGAGAAUCCUAAGGUGUGCGAGAGAACUCUGGUUAAGGAACUCGGCAAAAUGACCCCGUAACUUCGGGAGAAGGGGUGCUUUCUUAACGGAAAGCCGCAGUGAAUAGGCCCAAGCGACUGUUUAGCAAAAACACAGCUCUCUGCGAAGCCGUAAGGCGAAGUAUAGGGGGUGACACCUGCCCGGUGCUGGAAGGUUAAGGAGAGGGGUUAGCGUAAGCGAAGCUCUGAACUGAAGCCCCAGUAAACGGCGGCCGUAACUAUAACGGUCCUAAGGUAGCGAAAUUCCUUGUCGGGUAAGUUCCGACCCGCACGAAAGGUGUAACGAUUUGGGCACUGUCUCAACCAGAGACUCGGUGAAAUUAUAGUACCUGUGAAGAUGCAGGUUACCCGCGACAGGACGGAAAGACCCCGUGGAGCUUUACUGUAGCCUGAUAUUGAAUUUUGGUACAGUUUGUACAGGAUAGGCGGGAGCCUUUGAAACCGGAGCGCUAGCUUCGGUGGAGGCGCUGGUGGGAUACCGCCCUGACUGUAUUGAAAUUCUAACCUACGGGUCUUAUCGACCCGGGAGACAGUGUCAGGUGGGCAGUUUGACUGGGGCGGUCGCCUCCUAAAGUGUAACGGAGGCGCCCAAAGGUUCCCUCAGAAUGGUUGGAAAUCAUUCGUAGAGUGCAAAGGCAUAAGGGAGCUUGACUGCGAGACCUACAAGUCGAGCAGGGACGAAAGUCGGGCUUAGUGAUCCGGUGGUUCCGCAUGGAAGGGCCAUCGCUCAACGGAUAAAAGCUACCCCGGGGAUAACAGGCUUAUCUCCCCCAAGAGUCCACAUCGACGGGGAGGUUUGGCACCUCGAUGUCGGCUCAUCGCAUCCUGGGGCUGUAGUCGGUCCCAAGGGUUGGGCUGUUCGCCCAUUAAAGCGGUACGCGAGCUGGGUUCAGAACGUCGUGAGACAGUUCGGUCCCUAUCCGUCGUGGGCGUAGGAAAUUUGAGAGGAGCUGUCCUUAGUACGAGAGGACCGGGAUGGACGCACCGCUGGUGUACCAGUUGUUCUGCCAAGGGCAUAGCUGGGUAGCUAUGUGCGGAAGGGAUAAGUGCUGAAAGCAUCUAAGCAUGAAGCCCCCCUCAAGAUGAGAUUUCCCAUAGCGUAAGCUAGUAAGAUCCCUGAAAGAUGAUCAGGUUGAUAGGUUCGAGGUGGAAGCAUGGUGACAUGUGGAGCUGACGAAUACUAAUAGAUCGAGGACUUAACCAUAUAA